UCAGCCGCCGCGGUAAUACCAGCUCCUCGAGUGGUCGGGGCGAUUAUUGGGCCUAAAGCAUCCGUAGCCUGUUCCGUAGGUCUCCUGCAAAAUCCAGUCGCUCAACGAUUGGCCCGCAGGAGAUACCGCGGGACUAGGAGGCGGGAGAGGUGGACGGUACUCCACGUGUAGGGGUAAAAUCCUUUGAUCCGUGGAAGACCACCAGUGGCGAAGGCGGUCCACCAGAACGCGCUCGACGGUGAGGGAUGAAAGCUGGGGGAGCGAACCGGAUUAGAUACCCGGGUAGUCCCAGCCGUAAACGAUGCGAGCUAGAUGAUCCAGUCGCAAAUCGCGACUGGAGUGUCGCAGGGAAGCCGUUAAGCUCGCCGCCUGGGGAGUACGGUCGC
rnacentral:rRNA from 1 species